rnacentral:sRNA from 1 species
AUAUAAACCUGAUCGUACGGAUGCCGCCCUUUGUGGCAGGAGGGAGAGCAGGACGGAAC